rnacentral:rRNA from 1 species
CUGCUGCCUUCCGUAGGAGUUUGGGCCGUGUCUCAGUCCCAAUGUGGCCGGUCACCCUCUCAGGUCGGCUACUGAUCGUCGCCUUGGUGGGCUGUUAUCUCACCAACUAGCUAAUCAGAUGCGGGCCCAUCUUUUACCGAAUAAAUCCUUUCUUUCUCAGAAGAUGCCUUCCAAGAACCGUAUGCGGUAUUAGUCACCGUUUCCAGUGAUUAUUCCCCAGUAAAAGGCAGGUUACCCACACGUUACUCACCCGUCCGCCGCUAAAAUAA